rnacentral:rRNA from 1 species
CGUUGGAUGAUUGAGAGGGGCUGCUCCUAGUACGAGAGGACCGGAGUGGACGAACCUCUGGUGUUCGGGUUGUGUCGCCAGACGCAUUGCCCGGUAGCUAAGUUCGGAAUCGAUAACCGCUGAAAGCAUCUAAGCGGGAAGCGAGCCUCAAGAUGAGUCAUCCCUGAUACUUUAAGUAUUCUAAAGGGUUGUUGGAGACUACGACGUAGAUAGGCAGGGUGUGUAAGCGCUGUGAGGCGUUGAGCUAACCUGUACUAAUUGCCCGUGAGGCUUAACCAUACAACACCCAAGGGGUUU